rnacentral:rRNA from 1 species
ACGAACGCUGGCGGCGUGCUUAACACAUGCCAGUCGAACGGAAAGCCCUGCUUUUGUGGGGUGCUCGAGUGGCGAACGGGUGAGUAACACGUGAGUAACCUGCCCUUGACUUUGGGAUAACUUCAGGAAACUGGGGCUAAUACCGGAUAGGAGCUCCUGCUGCAUGGUGGGGGUUGGAAAGUUUCGGCGGUUGGGGAUGGACUCGCGGCUUAUCAGCUUGUUGGUGGGGUAGUGGCUUACCAAGGCUUUGACGGGUAGCCGGCCUGAGAGGGUGACCGGCCACAUUGGGACUGAGAUACGGCCCAGACUCCUACGGGAGGCAGCAGUGGGGAAUAUUGCACAAUGGGCGGAAGCCUGAUGCAGCAACGCCGCGUGCGGGAUGACGGCCUUCGGGUUGUAAACCGCUUUCGCCUGUGACGAAGCGUGAGUGACGGUAAUGGGUAAAGAAGCACCGGCUAACUACGUG